rnacentral:tRNA from 1 species
AGAGGCGUGCCGGGGUCACACUGGCAGUGUGAGGGUCAGGGGUUCGAGUCCCCUCAGCUCCA